UACAGAGGUGGCAAGCGUUGUUCGGAAUUACUGGGCGUAAAGGGCGCGUAGGCGGCCUUGUAAGUCUCGUGUGAAAGCCCUCGGCUUAACUGAGGAUCUGCACGGGAUACUGCGAGGCUUGAGUUCGGGAGAGGAAAGCGGAAUUCCGGGUGUAGCGGUGAAAUGCGUAGAUAUCGGGAGGAACACCAGUGGCGAAGGCGGCGACCUGGACGGACACUGACGCUGAGACGCGAAAGCGUGGGGAGCAAACAGG
rnacentral:rRNA from 1 species